rnacentral:rRNA from 1 species
UACAGAGGUCUCAAGCGUUGUUCGGAUUCAUUGGGGCGUAAAGGGUGCGUAGGCGGCGCGGUAAGUCGGGUGUGAAAUCUCGGGGCUUAACUCCGAAACUGCAUUCGAUACUGCCGUGCUUGAGGACUGGAGAGGAGACUGGAAUUUACGGUGUAGCGGUGAAAUGCGUAGAUAUCAAGCGGAACACCGGUGGCGAAGGCGGCCUUCUAGACAGUGGACUGACGCUGAGAUGCGAAAGCGUGGGGAGCAAACAGG